CCUACGGGAGGCUGCAGUGGGGAAUAUUGCACAAUGGCGGAAACCCUGAUGCAGCGACGCCGCGUGAGUGAAGAAGUAUUUCGGUAUGUAAAGCUCUAUCAGCAGGGAAGAAAAUGACGGUACCUGAUUCAGAAGCCCCGGCGAACUACGUGCCAGCAGCCGCGGUAAUACGUAGGGGGCAAGCGUUAUCCGGAUUUACUGGGUGUAAAGGGAGCGUAGACGGCAGCACAAGUCUGGAGUGAAAUGCCGGGGCUUAACCCCGGAACUGCUUUGGAAACUGUGCAGCUAGAGUGCAGGAGAGGUAAGUGGAAUGCGUAGUGUAGCGGUGAAAUGCGUAGAUAUUAGGAGGAACACCAGUGGCGAAGGCGGCUUACUGGACUGUAACUGACGUUGAGGCUCGAAAGCGUGGGGAGCAAACAGGAUUAGAUACCCGGGUAGUC
rnacentral:rRNA from 1 species